rnacentral:rRNA from 1 species
CAAUAAGCGGAGGAAAAGAAACUAACAAGGAUUCCCCUAGUAACGGCGAGUGAACAGGGAAGAGCUCAAAUUUGUAAUCUGGCGUCCCUUGGGCGUCCGAGUUGUAAUCUAUAGAAGUGUUUUCCGUGCUGGACCAUGUCCAAGUCCCUUGGAACAGGGUUCAAAGAGGGUGACAAUCCCGUGCUUGACAUGACGACCAGUGCUCUGUGAUACGCUCUCUACGAGUCGAGUUGUUUGGGAAUGCAGCUCAAAAUGGGUGGUGAGUUCCAUCUAAAGCUAAAUAUUGGCGAGAGACCGAUAGCGAACAAGUACCGUGAGGGAAAGAUGAAAAGCACUUUGGAAAGAGAGUUAAACAGUACGUGAAAUUGUUGAAAGGGAAACGAUUGAAGUCAGUA